CACACUGCCGAGAAAAGCCUCUAGAUAGAAAAUAGGUGCCCGUACCGCAAACCGACACAGGUAGUCAAGAUGAGAAUUCUAAGGUGAGCGAGCGAACUCUCGUUAAGGAACUCGGCAAAAUGACCCCGUAACUUCGGGAGAAGGGGUGCUCUUUAGGGUUAACGCCCAGAAGAGCCGCAGUGAAUAGGCCCAAGCGACUGUUUAUCAAAAACACAGGUCUCUGCUAAACCGUAAGGUGAUGUAUAGGGGCUGACGCCUGCCCGGUGCUGGAAGGUUAAGAGGAGUGGUUAGCUUCUGCGAAGCUACGAAUCGAAGCCCCAGUAAACGGCGGCCGUAACUAUAACGGUCCUAAGGUAGCGAAAUUCCUUGUCGGGUAAGUUCCGACCCGCACGAAAGGCGUAACGAUUUGGGCACUGUCUCAACGAGAGACUCGGUGAAAUCAUAGUACCUGUGAAGAUGCAGGUUACCCGCGACAGGACGGAAAGACCCCGUGGAGCUUUACUGUAGCCUGAUAUUGAAAUUCGGCACAGCUUGUACAGGAUAGGUAGGAGCCUUUGAAACGUGAGCGCUAGCUUACGUGGAGGCGCUGGUGGGAUACUACCCUAGCUGUGUUGGCUUUCUAACCCGCACCACUUAU
rnacentral:rRNA from 1 species